GACGAACGCUGGCGGCGUGCUUAACACAUGCAAGUCGAACGGAAAGGCCCUGCUUUUGUGGGGUGCUCGAGUGGCGAACGGGUGAGUAACACGUGAGUAACCUGCCCUUGACUUUGGGAUAACUUCAGGAAACUGGGGCUAAUACCGGAUAGGAGCUCCUGCUGCAUGGUGGGGGUUGGAAAGUUUCGGCGGUUGGGGAUGGACUCGCGGCUUAUCAGCUUGUUGGUGGGGUAGUGGCUUACCAAGGCUUUGACGGGUAGCCGGCCUGAGAGGGUGACCGGCCACAUUGGGACUGAGAUACGGCCCAGACUCCUACGGGAGGCAGCAGUGGGGAAUAUUGCACAAUGGGCGGAAGCCUGAUGCAGCAACGCCGCGUGCGGGAUGACGGCCUUCGGGUUGUAAACCGCUUUCGCCUGUGACGAAGCGUGAGUGACGGUAAUGGGUAAAGAAGCACCGGCUAACUACGUGCCAGCAGCCGCGGUGAUACGUAGGGUGCGAGCGUUGUCCGGAUUUAUUGGGCGUAAAGGGCUCGUAGGUGGUUGAUCGCGUCGGAAGUGUAAUCUUGGGGCUUAACCCUGAGCGUGCUUUCGAUACGGGUUGACUUGAGGAAGGUAGGGGAGAAUGGAAUUCCUGGUGGAGCGGUGGAAUGCGCAGAUAUCAGGAGGAACACCAGUGGCGAAGGCGGUUCUCUGGGCCUUUCCUGACGCUGAGGAGCGAAAGCGUGGGGAGCGAACAGGCUUAGAUACCCUGGUAGUCCACGCUGUAAACGGUGGGUACUAGGUGUGGGGUCCAUUCCACGGGUUCCGUGCCGUAGCUAACGCUUUAAGUACCCCGCCUGGGGAGUACGGCCGCAAGGCUAAAACUCAAAGGAAUUGACGGGGCCCCGCACAAGCGGCGGAGCAUGCGGAUUAAUUCGAUGCAACGCGUAGAACCUUACCUGGGUUUGACAUGGAUCGGGAGUGCUCAGAGAUGGGUGUGCCUCUUUUGGGGUCGGUUCACAGGUGGUGCAUGGCUGUCGUCAGCUCGUGUCGUGAGAUGUUGGGUUAAGUCCCGCAACGAGCGCAACCCUUGUUCACUGUUGCCAGCACGUUAUGGUGGGGACUCAGUGGAGACCGCCGGGGUCAACUCGGAGGAAGGUGGGGAUGACGUCAAGUCAUCAUGCCCCUUAUGUCCAGGGCUUCACGCAUGCUACAAUGGCUGGUACAGAGAGUGGCGAGCCUGUGAGGGUGAGCGAAUCUCGGAAAGUCGGUCUCAGUUCGGAUUGGGGUCUGCAAUUCGACCUCAUGAAGUCGGAGUCGCUAGUAAUCGCAGAUCAGCAACGCUGCGGUGAAUACGUUCCCGGGGCU
rnacentral:rRNA from 1 species